rnacentral:rRNA from 1 species
GACGAACGCUGGCGGCGUGCCUAAUACAUGCAAGUCGAACGCUGAAGGAGGAGCUUGCUCUUCUUGGAUGAGUUGCGAACGGGUGAGUAACGCGUAGGUAACCUGCCUGGUAGCGGGGGAUAACUAUUGGAAACGAUAGCUAAUACCGCAUAAUAGUAGAUGUUGCAUGACAUUUGCUUAAAAGGUGCAAUUGCAUCACUACCAGAUGGACCUGCGUUGUAUUAGCUAGUUGGUGAGGUAACGGCUCACCAAGGCAACGAUACAUAGCCGACCUGAGAGGGUGAUCGGCCACACUGGGACUGAGACACGGCCCAGACUCCUACGGGAGGCAGCAGUAGGGAAUCUUCGGCAAUGGACGGAAGUCUGACCGAGCAACGCCGCGUGAGUGAAGAAGGUUUUCGGAUCGUAAAGCUCUGUUGUAAGAGAAGAACGAGUGUGAGAGUGGAAAGUUCACACUGUGACGGUAUCUUACCAGAAAGGGACGGCUAACUACGUG